AUUCAUUGUCUUCUACAGUAGAGCGGGACAUUUAAUUUACUCUCAGCGGAAUUGACCGGAGAAGGCAUCAGUUCAUGCACUGCACUGGCCUGCACCACGAUUAGUAUAAGGCACAUUUCACGAAGCAGAACGCAGUCUUCAGAGAUAUCCACGUGAACGCUGUGAUACGUCUGACCUUCAGUCCGAAGAAGAAACCCAGACCAGUCUUAAAAGAAAGCACAAACCAAAUCCCCUGUACACAUAUACGGACUCAGAGGAUGAGUUUUUUUGUGGGGAAAGCCUACAAAAAAACGGUUUCCCCAGGCCCCUCGAGUGAAAAUACCAGCCCUCAUCACUCCGCAGUCUGCCCCCCAGCCCACUGAUAGCAACCAUCAUAAUGCCCCACCCAGCUUCCGGCACCUUUCGCCACUCCGGCACAAACCGACACAGCUUUGCGAUCUCGCCAGCAUGCAGAGUCUGAUGUCUUCCCUAUAGAUGAUUCCAGAGACUCUGUGAGGCCACUAUUACAAGGUGAGACGCUUUGCGUUGAUUGGUGCUGCUGGACCACACUGGAGGUGCGAGUCCGCCGUGUAAUGGUUUAUGCCAUUACAAAGGAGCUGGCCUCUGUACUCAACUGGACAGGGGAAAAAAAACCAAGGACCAGACAAAGCAAAAAAGGGCAUUUAAAGAGACAGCGCCGUGCAGAUGCAUAUUUGAUGGCCUGGCGCAGCAGGUAGGGGCGAACUCUGUCUGAGUUGGUCUUUGCUCAAGCAGUCCAGAAAUGGCUCAGAUAUGCUCCAGAUCGUACGGG